ensembl:lncRNA
GCGGCGCCAAGAGGUGUCGCAGGUUCCUCAACUGAUAAUGAUGAUGAUGAUUUGGCGCCCGGCCCGGCUUCAGUAAGGGCCCCGGCUGUUAAGGACCCGAGCAGCAGCACUGGCUCCAGAGAGGAGCGUGCCACCAGAAGUGGAGGAAGGAGUUUGUUCCUGAUGACUCUUGCCGUUGGUUGAAGGGGCUGUUGGAUAUGAGCAAGACGACAAUGAUUGUGCCUCCUUUAUGAUUAACUUGACAUCAUUGAAAAUCUCAACUUUUCUCUGUAGUGGAAUUUAUAACAAUAGCCCCAUUUCUUUCCUUUGCUAAUUUGGCCAGUUCUUAAUUUCACCAGAAAGGUUGGGCCUCAUCAGAUAGGAUAACCUUACUUUGAACCCCAAUGCUGGAGAGCUUAGAGGUUCCAAUCGAAAGUCAAACAACAAACCGUGAACGGAAAGGAUCGAUUUUACACCAAAGUGCAAUUGUUGAAGGGCCUUAGGGACUUGGAAAGGAAUAUUCAGAGUUGUGUGUGUGUGUGUGUGUGUGCGUGUGCGUGUGUGCGCGCGCGCGUGUCCUGAAGCCUUCAGAGCUGUGGGGAUGUGUCACCAAUCCCAUACCCACCCAGACUCUGGUCUGGAGGAAAAGUCUGUAAAUAGCAGGAUGCCCAGGAGCAUGUCUUGGGAAGCCUGCAUGUACAGGUUGCAAUAGCAGAGGGGCAAUGGUCAUAGGAAGAAACUGAGGUAAAGGAGGCACCUCUGAAGAAAAAGUGUUAGUUCAGUUUCUUUGUUUUUGUUUUGUUUGCUUUAGAAUAACUUACCAGUGUAAUUCAGCCAGAGUUUGUUAGUCGGACUAGGUAGCUAGGUAGAGCUGGUUUUAAUGUUUGGAAGCUUCUGGCCUUGAGGAAGCUAGGCAGCUGGAGAUACUGGUGGACUGACUGCCAAGGGACGAGGGAACCUUAGAGUUGUGCUCAAAGGGGUCCCGUUAUGGGUCUAGUCGGUCUCCCCGCUGGGGCCGUCGCCAGGUAUUGUUAGACGUAGUACUGCAGGUUCAAGUGUGCUGUCGCUAUUAAGCUCAAGUCUUUGGAAGUUAAGGUUAUUUUGGAUUUCUAAUGACGUUCCAAAUUACAGCAGCAGAGAGAAACCAAACAUCAGCCCCUUGAAUUGAAUUCCCAUCGAGGUAUUUUUCCCUUCUUUUUAGCCAAUUGUUAUAAACUUUAAAAACUUUUUUUAUUUGUAUGGUAUUAAGUCUUUUAAAUUUCUUGUUUGUUAUCUGUCUUUCUUAAUUAUGGACAGGGAAAUAUCAUGCUUGCUUUUAAAAAGAAAUGUAAAUAAUGUAUAUUUUUCUACAGAAAAAAACUAAAAAAGCACUCACUAGUGAAUAGCACUUAAUGAUGGUAUUUAUAUUUUUUAAGAGAUUGUAUUUAUUUUAUUGCCAUUUUUGUAGGAAAUAGAGGUUUACAAACACUAAUGCUUGGUCUCUACGUUUUGUAUUCUGCUGCCUUUUCGAAGUUGUGUUCUUGUUUUGUUUUUCUUUCCCAAAUUGAUUUUAAUUAUUUUUAUUGUUUAAUUUGUAGCCUGAAUGUUUUCUUUAAUUCCAAAGACUGCCGUUGGUCUGUGGCUUGGUUCCAUUGAGUGCAGUCCACCAGUAGCUCUCUAUCCAAGGCCAUUUCGGUCGGGGCUGUGUUUUAUUCUUUUCUAUUCUAAUUCUCUAUGUUCCAGUUGUAGAGGGCAGUUCUGUUAAUAUGCACUCGAGAGGGAGACUUUAAAUUAUUGGUCCGUAUUAAAUAGGUGAAUAUCUCCUCUCUCCCGCCUUAAUGUCAACACCCAGCGUUACGCUCUGACAACAAGACCAACCUAAAAACAAUAAUGCUUUUCCCUGGCAGGAUAGGCUACACUGGUCAGAUCCACAUCUGUUCACAACUCAACGGUUUCCUAUAGAUUGUGGUCCCGUCUGCAGGCCCAGUUUAUAAUGAAGAGGUGCCUUCAUGUUAUUGAUGCAACGCAAAUAAAGAAAAGCAUAAGUCAUAUCUCCAGCCAAUUCAAACCACUUUGCACAGUGCAUGUACAAGUGAAAUCAGUAAUUUGUGUUUUGCCUUAGUUGUUUAAAGGGUCUUUUUUUUUUUCCAUGUUUCGCUGGAUAAACUAAACCUAUUGUUUCUCGGCUGCUGAUUUAUUUUUAUUUUGCUAUCCUGGAGCCAACAUGCCAACGCGGCCAGUGAUCGUUCCCCGUUGGAUUUGCAUAUUUACCUGGUUGACCACAGACCAUUACUGGAGUUCAGCCAGCCCCCUCCCUCCUGAGCGUCCCCUCAUAGAAACAUUACGGACAGAACAGUUACACUUGCAGCAGAAGUGGAGCGUUUCACGUAGAAAGUCAAAACUAUAACGGUCAUUUCUGAGGGCUCCACCUCUGCACGUUUGUUAUGAUAGAGGCACUGAAUUACACAUAGGACGAUACUUCUCAUCCCUCCCGCUUAAGACCAAGCUGUUUCUUUCAACCCCAGCCGUAGGCCCCCCCCCUAGCAAAGAGGAAAACUUAAUGUGGGAUAGGUCUUGACGGGGCCUGUGAACGUGGCAUUCAGGCCCCUAGUGAAGUGCACUUGACUCCCACUCCCCACCCUGCUAAGGCAGGGGCCGCGGUGUACGUCUAGCGGCCGUGCAGUGCAUAUCAGCCAGGCUGCGGUCCCCCACCGGCCAGGAGCAGUCAACACCAACUCUCACCGGGUGGUGUGAAUCAUGUUUCUGCAUCAGCAUUUUGCUUGCUGGGUUCUGCUGCUAAGAUACAACAAAAAAACAAAAACCUGAAUGUAUUAUCCUCCUGAGCAACAUCUGAGUUGUGGCGAUCCCUUCUGUGGGCUCCAUUUGUUCCACGGAGAGAGACUUUGUGUUAUCUGUGAAACAUGGCGGUCUGGGAAGCUAUGACAUGAACCCGUAGCGGGGAGGCGGCGAUGGUUUACGUUUUGUUUGUUUAAUUUAACCACUGGGGAUGUACUGACAUGACGGGUACAUCACGACGGCAUUUCUACCUACUCGUACCAACCGGUUUUUACUGAAUGAGGGAAUACGGUCAUUCAUACGUGUAUUUGGGGUGAGGGGGUUGCUAAUGCUAAGGGCUCCGUCUGUCCUUGGGUCUCCGCUUCAAACGCUUGACCAGUAAACCAGUAAAUAAUAACUAGCGACUAUAGCAUCUGUUUCCGUGUUCCUUAAUAAGCAGCUAUACAGUAAGUCAACAGCCUCUGUUGCAUCCUUGUCUUCAUUUUACCACGCCACACCAGUGGCUCUUCACCCACAUCAUCUGUAAUUAUACUAUAUAUAACAAUGAUAAUAUACAAAAUCAUGCAUAGUAAUUUCUUGUGCUUUAGUAUCUAUACAAUAUAUGGAAUGGACAGACAAACUUAGUUACAGUAGCAAAUCAUCAGAUUUAUGGUUAUUAGCAAUGUUUCAAUGUACUCUAUAAUGGUUUUUGUGUUACAGUAUACCUGAAUGAGACUAACGGUCGUCCAUCUUGUAUAGUGAUAUCAGUACCAAUUCUCCUGUGUCUGUGAAUGCACCUUCAACAUGAAAAAGGGGCUUUGCGGAUUACAUUUCUUACUUAGCUUUUUAUUUUUCCGGAAAGGAACAAUAUUUAUGUGAUGAGAAAUGUAACCGUUAAUGUGGUUGUGUACUUCUUGAGGUCAGCCAUGUUUGUUUUCUGAUUGUUGUAGUGACGGUUCUUUUUUUUUUUUUUUUUGUCUGUUUUUAUUGUACAUUUUAUUUUUAACAGGGAUUUUUGAAACUGCUUACUUGAUGUGUAUAAAUGGAGUCUGGUUAGUGGAGACCGACCAGUAAACGUAUGAAAUCCCAACCAAAAUGUUGCUUCAUUUUGGAAAACCCUUUGUGUCUCCCUUGCUGACUCCUUCCUCUGAAGCUUUGGUUGUACUUAUCAUGUACUAUUUUUAUAUAUAUAUUUUAUAUAUAUAUACAUAUAUAUAUGAUAAUACCAAGAUGAUAAUGUUGGUUAAAAAAAUACACUUACGUUAUUUAUUUUGAGCAACGGUCAACAAGCCAAAAUUGUUAUUUUUGCAAUCGACAUUUUGGAGCAGUUGAGCGAGUACUAAACAUUUGUUUGUAUUUUAACUUGUCAGCCUAGGAGGGAAUUUGGUGUCACACAGGAAGUGAAUAUUGGAUGAUACACAGGCUUGUUUUUAAUGCCUUGAAUAUACCUUUGUCUUAUCAACUUCCUCCUGCUCAUAAUAAUAAUAAUAAUAAUAUGACGGUCUUGUUUAUCAGUGUUCUCUCAAUACUCAUCACAGAAAUGAAGGAAAUUACAACAGUAAAAAAAAAAAGAAAAACCACAAAUAGGGUUGAAUGUAAAAUUAGGAAGCAAAGUUGUAAAUACAUGUAAAAAGAAAAGUUUCUAAUCAUGUUUAUUUUCUAUGCACUUUUUUAUUUAAGUGAUAGUUUAAAUAAUAAACAUGUGUCCUUUAC